UACGUAGGGCGCAAGCGUUGUCCGGAAUUAUUGGGCGUAAAGAGCUCGUAGGUGGUCUGUUGCGUCCGCUGUGAAAACCUAAGGCUUAACCUUGGGCCUGCAGUGGAUACGGGCAGACUAGAGGUAGGUAGGGGAGAAUGGAAUUCCCGGUGUAGCGGUGAAAUGCGUAGAUAUCAGGAGGAACACCGAUGGCGAAGGCAGGUCUCUGGGCCACUACUGACGCUGAGAAGCGAAAGCAUGGGGAGCGAACAGG
rnacentral:rRNA from 1 species